CCUACGGGUGGCAGCAGUGAGGAAUAUUGGUCAAUGGACGAGAGUCUGAACCAGCCAAGUAGCGUGAAGGAUGACUGCCCUAUGGGUUGUAAACUUCUUUUAUAAAGGAAUAAAACGAGGCACGUGUGCCUUUUUGCAUGUACUUUAUGAAUAAGGAUCGGCUAACUCCGUGCCAGCAGCCGCGGUAAUACGGAGGAUCCGAGCGUUAUCCGGAUUUAUUGGGUUUAAAGGGAGCGUAGAUGGGUUGUUAAGUCAGUUGUGAAAGUUUGCGGCUCAACCGUAAAAUUGCAAUUGAUACUGGCAGUCGUGAGUACAGUUGAGGUAGACGGAAUUCGUGGUGUAGCGGUGAAAUGCUUAGAUAUCACGAAGAACCCCGAUUGCGAAGGCAGCUUACUAAACUGUGACUGACAUUGAUGCUCGAAAGUGUGGGUAUCAAACAGGAUUAGAUACCCUUGUAGUC
rnacentral:rRNA from 1 species